UCAAGACGCCACGCCUGCACUAUGGCCGC
rnacentral:sRNA from 1 species